AGCAUGUGGUUUAAUUCGAAGCAACGCGAAGAACCUUACCAGGUCUUGACAUCCUUUUGAAUGGUCUAGAGAUAGAUCAGGCCUUCGGGACAGAAGAGACAGGUGGUGCAUGGUUGUCGUCAGCUCGUGUCGUGAGAUGUUGGGUUAAGUCCCGCAACGAGCGCAACCCUUAUCAUUAGUUGCUAACAUUCAGUUGAGAACUCUAAUGAGACUGCCAGUGAUAAACUGGAGGAAGGUGGGAUGACGUCAAAUCAUCAUGCCCCUUAUGACCUGGGCUACACACGUGCUACAAUGGCCGGUACAAAGAGUUGCGAAACUGUGAGGUUAAGCUAAUCUCAUAAAGCCGGUCUCAGUUCGGAUUGUAGUCUGCAACUCGACUACAUGAGGUCGGAAUCGCUAGUAAUCGCGAAUCAGAAUGUCGCGGUGAAUACGUUCUCGAGUCUU
rnacentral:rRNA from 1 species